AGAGUUGAUCCUGGCUCAGGAUGAACGCUAGCUACAGGCUAACACAUGCAAGUCGAGGGGCGAGCGGGGAUCUAGCUUGCUAGAUUGCCGGCGACCGGCGCACGGGUGAGUAACGCGUAUCCAACCUUCCCCUUAGUAGGGCAUAGCCCGUAGAAAUGCGGAUUAAUACCCUAUGUUGUUCGAUGCGGACAUCUAAGUUGAACCAAAGGUUUACCGCUAAGGGAUGGGGAUGCGUCUGAUUAGGCAGCAGGCGGGGUAACGGCCCACCUGGCCUACGAUCAGUAGGGGUUCUGAGAGGAAGGUCCCCCACAUUGGAACUGAGACACGGUCCAAACUCCUACGGGAGGCAGCAGUGAGGAAUAUUGGUCAAUGGGCGCGAGCCUGAACCAGCCAAGUAGCGUGCAGGACGACGGCCCUAUGGGUUGUAAACUGCUUUUAUGCGGGGAUAAAGUGACGUACGUGUACGUCUUUGUAGGUACCGCAUGAAUAAGGACCGGCUAAUUCCGUGCCAGCAGCCGC
rnacentral:rRNA from 1 species